rnacentral:rRNA from 1 species
AAUCAACGCUGGCGGCGUGCCUAACACAUGCAAGUCGAACGCGAAAGUCCCUUCGGGGAUGAGUAGAGUGGCGUCCGGGUGAGUAACGCGUGGGUAAUCUACCUUCGGGUGGGGAAUAACCCAGGGAAACUUGGGCUAAUACCGCAUAAUGCAGCGGCUCGACAUCGAGACAGUUGUUAAAGCAGCAAUGCGCCUGAAGAGGAGCCUGCGUCUGAUUAGCUUGUUGGUGAGGUAAUGGCUCACCAAGGCUACGAUCAGUAGCUGGUCUGAGAGGACGGCCAGCCACAAUGGCACUGAAACACGGGCCAUACUCCUACGGGAGGCAGCAGUGGUGAAUUUUGCGCAAUGGGCGAAAGCCUGACGCAGCAACGCCGCGUGGAGGAUGAAAUCCCUCGAGAUGUAAACUUCGAAAGUAUGGGAAGAAAAAAAUGACGGUACCAUAUGUAAGCCCCGGCUAACUCCGUGCCAGCCGCCGCAGUAAUAC